AUGCAAAGUUUUCAGGCUCUGCUACCUCUCUGCCUGCUGCAGCUGGCUGGCACCUCUGAGGAAGCUGCCACGUCACACCUCACUGGAGUCGGGGAGAGCGUGCUGCUUCUCUGCACCUUCUCUAGAGGAAGCACUGUCACUUGUGUUUUUCUGGACCAGGAUUCUGAUGCUUUGUGCCUCCAUUUGAUCCAUACUGAAGAAAAUUUACCUAACAUGCUGAGGCAUGCAAAAAUGGAUUUAAAAGGAAGUACUCUCCAUUAACCCAACCUGAUGAGACACAUCCUCUUGGUUCACAUGCUGGAAGAUUACAGCGAUGUCCACCAUUCACCCAUGAGAAGUACCAGGUGAGCAGCACUGAGUGUCAGGGAAGCACAUGUAUAUAUGUGUGCGCUGACAGAAGAUUCCUCUUUUAACAUUAGACUGUGCCCCCUUCCAUAUUAAAUAUUAAGUACGUUUUUGCACAUCUGUCAGAAAGUAGAGAAGAAUGCAUCUGUUCCUUAGGGAUGAUGAACUGAAAUUGGUCCUGAUUCAGGAAAAAAAAAAAAAAAAAAAGAAAGAAAGAAAGAAGAAGAAGAAGAAAAAAAAAACAACACAAAAAACACCAGAAAAACCACAUCUAUUCAGUACAGCACUUAAACUGAGACAUAAGUGCCAGCCUGAAUAGGGACAGAGUUAAGCCUCUGUUUAAAUGCUUUCCUGAACAGGGGUCAUUAGCACUAGCUCUCUCACUGAACAAUGGAUUAUUACUAAUGGAAGCAGCUAGCAUUCAGAUAGGCAUCCAAACUUUUCGGCGCUUUCUUUAACUUAACUAUUUUUGCUGCUACUUGCAGGCCAGUUGGCUGCUGCACACUUACAGAUCUGAAGACGAGAAGGCUCCCAGCAACCUGCCAAGAGUGCCAUUCAACUCUGAAGUGCUGGUUUGGAGGGCAAUGGCAUGAGGUGGUGAAUUGAAAGCGGUGUGAGGCAGGUGCAGACUCCCUUUGAACUCAAGAAGUAAAGAACACCUUUUUCUAUCAAAAACUUGGUCAACUCAUUAUCAAGUCCCAAUACCAAGAAAAAUUACCAAACAACACAAAUAAAUAUAUUGGCAGAUUUCA
rnacentral:lncRNA from 1 species